CCUACGGUAGGCUGCAGUGGUGAAUAUUGCACAAUGGGGGAAACCCUGAUGCAGCGACGCCGCGUGAGUGAAGAAGUAUCUCGGUACGUAAAGCUCUAUCAGCAGGGAAGAUAAUGACGGUACCUGACCAAGAAGCCCCGGCUAACUACGUGCCAGCAGCCGCGGUAAAAAGUAGGGGGCAAGCGUUAUCCGGAUUUACUGGUUGUAAAGGUAUCGUAGUCGGCAGCACAAGGCUGGAGGGAAAUCCCGGGGCUUAACCCCGGAACUGCUUUGGAAACUGUGCGGCUGGAGUGCAGGAGGGGUAAGCGGAAUUCCUAGGGUGACGGUGGAAUGCGUCGGUAUUAGGAGGAACACCGAUGGCGGAGGCGGAUUACUGGACUGUAAAUGACGUUGAGGCUCGGAAGCGUGGGGAGCAAAUAGGAUUAGGUACCCUUGUAGUC
rnacentral:rRNA from 1 species